rnacentral:rRNA from 1 species
UACGAAGGGGGCUAGCGUUGCUCGGAUUGACUGGGCGUAAAGGGCGCGUAGGCGGUUCGUACAGUCAGACGUGAAAUUCCUGGGCUCAACCUGGGGGCUGCGUUUGAUACGUGCGGACUUGAGUGCGGAAGAGGGUCGUGGAAUUCCCAGUGUAGAGGUGAAAUUCGUAGAUAUUGGGAAGAACACCGGUGGCGAAGGCGGCGACCUGGUCCGAUACUGACGCUGAGGCGCGAAAGCGUGGGGAGCAAACAGA